rnacentral:rRNA from 1 species
UGCGCAGGCGGAACGAUUAGUCAGUGGUGAAAUCCUACGGCUCAACUGUAGAAUUGCCAUUGAAACUGUCGCUCUUGAGUAUAGUUGAAGUGGGCGGAAUGUGUCAUGUAGCGGUGAAAUGCAUAGAGAUGACACAGAACACCAAUCGCGAAGGCAGCUCACUAAACUAUAACUGACGCUCAGGCACGAAAGCGUGGGUAGCGAACAGGAUUAGAUACCCUGGUAGUCCC